rnacentral:rRNA from 1 species
AUUGAACGCUGGCGGCAGGCCUAACACAUGCAAGUCGAGCGAGCGGCGGACGGGUGAGUAAUGUCUGGGAAACUGCCUGAUGGAGGGGGCUAACUACUGGAAACGGUAGCUAAUACCGCAUCCCGUCAGAUGUUCCCAGGUGGGCUUAGUUAGUCGGUGGGGUAACGGCUCACCUAGGCGACGCUCCCUAGCUGGUCUGAGAGGAUGACCAGCCACACUGGAACUGAGACAGGGUCCAGACUCCUGCGGGAGGCAGCAGUGGGGAAUAUUGCACAAUGGGCGCAAGCCUGAUGCAGCCAUGCCGCGUGUGUGAAGAAGGCCUUCGGGUUGUAAAGCACUGUCAGCGGGGAGGCGUUACCAGCAGAAGAAGCACCGGCUAACUCCGUGCCAGCAGCCGCGGUAAUAC